rnacentral:rRNA from 1 species
UACGUAGGGGGCAAGCGUUGUCCGGAUUUAUUGGGCGUAAAGAGCGUGUAGGCGGUUUGGUAAGUCUUAUGUGAAAUCUACAGGCUCAACUUGUAGUCUGCAUGAGAAACUGCCGGGCUUGAGUAUGGGAGAGGUGAGUGGAAUUCCUGGUGUAGCGGUGAAAUGCGUAGAUAUCAGGAGGAACACCUGUGGCGAAAGCGGCUCACUGGACCAUAACUGACGCUGAUGCACGAAAGCUAGGGGAGCGAACAGG